rnacentral:misc_RNA from 1 species
UCGUCGCUCUGCACCAUGGAGGCCCUGUUCUACGACCACGCCGUCACCAGCACGGCAACCCGCCAGGCAGACCUUCGCCAGGCUCUGCAGGCAUUUCUGACGGACGCCGCAUCGCGGUCGGCCGUUCAGCUCAUCGCUCUCUUUGUUCGAAUUCCGGUUCCUUCUAUCGUCGCUGUGGCCGCCCACACUGCUAGUGGCAGCCGCACUAGCAGCAGGACAUCUUCAUCGCGUGAGGGCGGUUCUGUGGCGGCGCGGCACGCCGCGACUGGUAAAGCGGCUUCCGCGGCUUCACCAUCGCCUCCGGCGCCGUCCCGUCGGAGUCGCAACGCGGCAAGGCUGGCCUGGUGCGCCUGGGAAGCUGACCGACGCCUUCGUCAGGCAGCCGAGGAUGCAUCAGAGAUGAACAAGUGGCUCGCACACGACGACUUCUCUGCAUCACGAAAGGCCGGGGCCGGGAUCACGAGGUCAUCUUUCCGCGAUGCUUUCGUUGUCGCGGUGGCCUUCUUGGCGCCGCACACGCGUGACGACCUCGUUGUCUAUGAGAGCUGGCAGCGCUGUGCAGAGAUGUGCGCCGAGUCAUCAGCCGCUGGCGUGGCGAGCGGCUCUGCAUCGCGAACCACUCGAAUGCUCUCGCCACUGCGCCAUGCCCGUCUCGUUGCUCUUUCGCUUGGGGCUCCAUCGCUGCUGUUGUCGUGGGCAGAGCGGCCGACGCGCUGCCACCUCGACAGCCUUCUUCUUCCCCAUCAGAGCCUUCUCGUGGAUCUGUCGUGGUGGUUGGCGACGGCAAGCGGGAGCGCAGGCGCAGUAAGCGAUGCUGCAGCCGGCAGCCGUGUAAGCAACUCGGUUCUGCGCGAUAUAUUUAUCAGCGACGUGCAGCGUUCUCUGAAGCUGCCGAAGGGAGACAGUCGGUGCGCAGUCUGGAUCUCGUAUGCAACCCUCUUGGCCUCUCUGCACCCUCAGGUGAUGGGCAGUGGCGACGGCGCCGACGGUGACGGCGUGAGCAUGGACAUGCGCGUAGCAGGAAGUGCGUCACGACGGAAGCGUGGUCGGAACACGCUGUGUGGCGAGGUCUCCGGCGUGGACGAGCAGGCCUUCAUGAUGACAUACGCCCGGGUUCGCCAACUGCUCAGCUCACUCAACGCCAGCCAGGCCGGCGCAGUGGGCCGCACGCAGUUUCUGCGCGUUGUUUUGAGCUACGGCGGCCCUUCUUCUGCUUUGCGGCGCCAGCUCGUGCACACAUGCAGUCGCACAGAGCACGGAGUCACGGCGGUCGAUGCAGCACUGCUGCGCACUCGGUCACUCGUUGACGUGCACGCCUUGUUUGGUGUGCUCGCCGGACGGGACACAGUGAACGUGUACAGCGAGGCCGCCGCGUUUGUGCGCACGGCGCGACGCCGCGCUAGCGCAGGCCAGACAUCGCAGCAGCGGCAUCAGCGCAUCGCUGUUCAAAGCGCACGAGUGGAGGUGACCUCGUCACCCUCUUGCGCCCCCCCCGGCACCGAGCACGAGGUGGUGGAUCGUGGUGCAGGAAACUUGUGCCACAACGCCUUCGUGGAACGAGGUGCCAGAGCGCUGGCGCGAAAGCUGCGGUUGUGGGAGCGCAAACGGCUGGGCAAACGGGGGAAGCGAGGCGUGCACGUCCGUCCACGCGACACGGCAGCAAAGAGGCCGAUGAAGCGAGGGCAUGCUGAGGCCAGCGGUGCUGAUUCUGAGCGUGUGCUCGCGCACGCUGUGGAAAGGGCUAGCCGAGCAGCGGCGAGUCCCAAGACGGGGAGCAAGCGCCGAGCGGAGCCGCUGGCGUGCGUGGAUGGCCGCGCUUCGGCCUCCGCCACGAGAGCGUUGCUGCCACCCCAAAAGCAGAGGAGGACGGAUGCGGCGACUGUCAGCCCAACGCUGACUACUGAAACAGCUCUCAGGUGGAGCGAGGAUGUGGCUGGUAGUGGCUAAAGUAGGUGGGCUGCCGCCGCCGCCGCCUCUGCGCACCUCUCUGUCCGUCUACCAAGAUGCGCACAACACAAAAUACAAGCCACCUCUGUUUUGUUCUUGUUUUGCUUUGUGCUUAGCAAGGCUGCUGCCGGCGCAACAGACAUUGACGUGCGCACAUAACGCGUGCGUGCACGCGUACACGAUUGAAGCGCACGUAGCAAUUCACAUUUAAGAGGCACAAAUGACUUUUUCAGUAACGUGUUCGAGCAACAGCGGGGGCGCGGAGGAUUGCGGUGGUGCCGCUGCAUUAUCUUACGUUAUCCAUCUUUGCCCCUUGGAAGUCGCUCUUCUAUCUAGCACGUCGGCCUUUUCACGCCGUCUCUGUUGGUGGGGGGGGGGGGGCGGCGAGUGUGUAACUACUCAGCCGAAGGCCGCGUCAGCGCACCGUCUCUCUCCCCGCCUCCGUCGGCCGCUUCCCUCUUGACCAGUCGCUUCGAACCACCACCUCCUGCCCUCUACCCUCCUCUCCGUCUCUCGGCGCUCUGUGUGUGUCUUAUGUGCGUGUGUGCGGGCCUGAGCACCAACAACAACAG